AUGUUAACAAGAAAUUUCUCUGUCAUGCCUUUUUCAGAAUCUCAACCCAAAGUAGACCACGUGGACGACAACUUUGCAACUUGCCUUCUCAAGCUCUUAGUGAUGGUUCUUAUUUUUUAUGUAUUCCGGGAGGAAUGUUUUGGAAAUAAGAAAAGAAAAGGAAAUGUCUCUAGCAUCUGCUGGCCUGCUUUCUGUCUCUGUGAAUUUACCUAUCCAGAUCAACUUAAGGAAAAUGAUCAACUUAGGAAGGAAAAUGAUCAACUUAGGAAGGAAAAUGAUCAACUUAGGAAGGAAAAUGAUCAACUUGGGGAGGAAAAUGGAAAAUUGCAAAAGGAAAUUGGUAAUGGUAUUCUAAUAGUUAAAAUAUUCUCAAGAGGAUGUCCUCCUCUGAUGAUCCCCUGCUUCCUUUCAUUCUUUCCCCUUAGCUCUUCAUUUUAGGUAUCUUUUGCAUUUCCCCGUUGCCUCUGUAUAUUGCAGCUAUCAUGUUAGGAAUAAUUUUCUGCUUACCUUGAUUAAGUCCUGAAAAUCAUGUGACUCAACUUUAUUUUAUGCAUGAAAAGCAAUUUCCAAAGGGAGCAAUGGCUUGACUAAUGAUAGUAAUGACUACGGUAAAUCCCUCAGAAGAAUGCCUGUCUUUUUUCUGCAUCGUCCUCUCAUUGAGAGUCCAUGUCUUAUGUGUGUAUCUCCUUUCAGAUGAGAGGAAAACUCAAUUUAGGAAUGGUAAGUAAUUUGGAAGUUCUUUCGUGGGAUCAGAUUCCACAAAUAAUAAGCCAUCUAGCCCUUCUCUAAACCUCCUUCCCAGAAAGAGUCAGGCAUGGUAUACCAUGGCAUGUGCUCACUGUGUAGAAGCAUAAAUGGAAGAGAAUCUGUGAAAGUGAGUUAACUCAUUUUCUUUCCUAACUUAGAAUAUCCUUUUAUUGAGACGGGGAAAAAUUUAAUUGUUUAAUGGAUAUUUCCCAAGCGCUCCUUCCUUUGUCUUCACUUCCCUAACCACCCUUUUCUUUCCCUUUUCACUCUUUGUCUCACUCUUGUCAAUUCUUUCUUCCUUCACCUCUGUUCUUUCCAAAUCCUUACCUUUCUCCUUGCUCCUUUCCUCCUUCCCCCCUCACUCCUUCCAUUUUAUCCGUUAUGCUUUCUUUCCAUCUUCAUUUCUCAAACUAUCCACUUUUAUUUCCAUCAUUUCUUUAUUUUCUUUGUUCUUAUUUUUCUUUUUAUUAUUACUUCUCUUGCUUAUAGCUUGAUUUUUCUUUUGACUUUAUACUUUUUCACAUAUAUAUACAAACCCAACAAUUUUAAAGUUAAAGGAAUGGUCACAGUAUUGUGAGGAAGGAAAGGGAUGGAGAGAGAAAUAACUGAAUACUUAGAGAAUACUGGUGAUGAGGAGAGAGGAAAAGAUACACGAAGGACCAGGAAAGGGUAAUCACAUGUUCUCAUGUUG
rnacentral:lncRNA from 1 species